rnacentral:rRNA from 1 species
UACGUAGGGGGCUAGCGUCGUCCGGAAUCAUUGGGCGUAAAGCGCACGUAGGCGGCCCGGUAAGUCCGCUGUGAAAGUCGGGGGCUCAACCCUCGGAUGCCGGUGGAAACUGUCGGGCUUGAGUACGGAAGAGGCGAGUGGAAUUCCUGGUGUAGCGGUGAAAUGCGCAGAUAUCAGGAGGAACACCAAUUGCGAAGGCAGCUCGCUGGGACGUUACUGACGCUGAUGUGCGAAAGCGUGGGGAGCAAACAGG